UUAAAGUGCUUAAAGCUAAACCACUGCCUGAGCAGUUGUGCGUGGUAGCGGACUGUGGCUUCCAGCUUGUGCCGUGCCCUGGGCCCUCACCAGGCUGCUUUCGUUUUUUUCUCAAAGUGAAAUGCCGAAAGUUUUUGCACGUGUACUGAGAGACAGGGAAGAGUAGAACUGUUCGUUUCUCGAGAGCUAUAUGGCAUGUUAGGCAUGAUGUAUAUUACCGCGAAAGUGUUUGUCAUGGUGUGAAGUUCUGAAUGUCCUGGAAUGGUUUCUCUUUAGUAAGCUUGAUAGUUUUUUUUUGUUUUUUUGUUUGUUUGUUUGUUUGUUUGUUUGUUUUUUACUUUCUGUACCUGAUUUUUCGUGAAAUAAAGUAAUUAAAAAGAAUAGAAUAUGGUGAUUGCCAGACAGAAGGAUAGGGCUACCUAAAACAGCCCUUAAACCUUAUCUACAACAACUUCACCAAAACAAGCAUUUAAGUUGCAAAAAACUUGCUGCUAUCACUAAUAAGCUGUUCUACGCACCCGGAGUCUACCAGGAAGCAAAAAAGCUUUUAAAACACUGCAGUAUAUGCAAAAAAAAUUAAUAUCAAAGGGGAAAAAUCAAAAUCCCCUGGAACCCACCCCUGGGCUUAUACUCCCUUUAAAAGAUUACAAAUAAAUUUUGCUGAUAUGCCUAAAGACAAUGGGUACAAAAACCACCUAAUAAUUGUUGACCAACCCACGGGGUGAGUAGAAGCCUUCCCCACCAGAAGAGCUACAACACAACAAGUAGUAAAAAUACUCCUUAACAAAAUUAUACCCAGGUUUAGUCCACCACAUAUCAUUAAAACAAUCAAGGAUCACAUUUUACUGCUGACAUAAAUAAAACACUGAUCAGCUGCCUAGGAAUAGAAUGGAAAUUCCAUACCCCUUAGCAUCCAGAAAACUCAGGACAAGUAGAGAGAAUAAAUCAAACCUUGAAACACAAAAAAUUGAAAAGCUAUGUGCUGAGAGCAGGUUAAAAUAGACUAAGGCUCUACCACUGGCUCUUAUGUCCAUCAGAACCACCCCCAAGAGAAAACUAAAGCUCAGCCCUUAUGAGCUGUUGUUUGGACACCCUGUUCCCCAACAUUCCCCCUUACUACCAGCUCACACCUCCUCUCUCUUAAGCGAUGAAGAACUCACCUCUUAUAUUUUAUCUCUACAGUCUCAGUUAAAAUCUCUCCAUAGGUAUGCUGCUUUAAGCCAACCCUUACCUGCCGAUGUUCCAACACAUCGCAUCCAACCUGGAAACCGGUUGUAUGUAAAAACUUGAAAACGGUCUCCCCUUGAACCUAAGUGGCAAGGACCAUAUCAAGUCCUCCUCACCUCCCACACCGCCAUAAAAGUAGCAAAAAAGAACAACUGGAUUCAUUAUACUCGUACAAAGAAGACAGAAGUUUCACCAGAGCUCAGGAUCGGCUCCAACGCAAGCUUCCCUAACCUGAAAAAGGGGAAGCCA